rnacentral:tRNA from 2 species
GCCCUUGUGAUGGAAUUGGCAGACAUAUUCCGCUUAAACCGGAAGUCUUGCAGGUUCGACUCCUGUCAGGGGCA